UACAGAGGUCUCAAGCGUUGUUCGGAUUCAUUGGGCGUAAAGGGCGCGUAGGCGGCGAGGUAAGUCGGGUGUGAAAUCUCAGAGCUCAACUCUGAAACUGCACUCGAUACUGCUUUGCUAGAGGACUGGAGAGGAGACUGGAAUUUACGGUGUAGCGGUGAAAUGCGUAGAUAUCGUAAGGAAGACCAGUGGCGAAGGCGGGUCUCUGGACAGUUCCUGACGCUGAGGCACGAAGGUCAGGGGAGCAAACGGG
rnacentral:rRNA from 1 species